UUCCCGGGCAUCCAACUAUGUACUCUGGGAACAGCAGCCGCGGCAGCAGCCUGGAGCCCACGCCGGGGGAACAGGACCUGGAACGACGACGGCAGCAGGCGGCGGGGGACUUCGGGACUCCGUUCAGCGCCAGGACUUAUGAGUUGCUAGCUCUGCUUAUCGCCACUAUCGGCCUCGUAGGCUUGUGCAACAACUUGCUGGUCCUGGUGGUUUACACCAAGUUCAAGCGACUCCGCACGCCCACCGGUCUCUUCCUGGUGAACAUCAGCCUCAGCGACUUGCUGGUGUCGUUUUUCGGCGUCAGCUUCACUUUCCUCUCCUGCCUUAGGAAUGGUUGGGCCUGGGACGAGACCGGCUGCAUGUGGGACGGCUUCAGCAACAGCCUCUUCGGAAUUGUUUCACUUAUGACUCUCACUGUCUUGGCCUAUGAACGGUACAUUAGAGUAGUGCAUGCAAGAGUGAUUGAUUUCUCGUGGUCUUGGAGGGCAAUCACAUAUAUCUGGCUUUACUCCUUAGCCUGGACAGGAGCACCUCUUCUUGGCUGGAACCAUUACUCGCUAGAACUUCAUGGAUUAGGUUGUUCAGUGGACUGGAGUUCAAGAGAACCCAGUGAUACUUCCUUUGUCCUCUUUUUCUCUUUUGGUUGUCUAGUGGUACCACUUGGAAUUGUGGUCUACUGCUAUGGACAUAUUCUUCAUGCAGUACGAACGUUUCGUUGUGUGGAAGACUUGCAAACUGUCCAUGUGAUCAAAAUCUUAAGAUAUGAGAAGAAAGUGGCUAAAAUGUGUUUCUUAAUGAUAACCACUUUUCUUAUUUGCUGGAUGCCAUAUACUGUGGUUUCACUUUUAAUAGCCUAUGGUUAUGGUCACCUGAUAACUCCAACAAUGGCUAUUAUCCCAUCUUUCUUUGCUAAAUCAAACACUGCCUACAACCCAGUUAUUUUUAUUUUCAUGAAUAGAAAGUUUCGACAGUGCCUUAUGCAGCUUGUCUGUAUUCACUUCUUGAGGUUUCAGAGGAUUUUGAAAGAAAAGCCAGCCAUCAGGAAUGAAACGCCAGUAAGACCUAUUGUUGCGUCGCAGAAGGUGAGGAACAGGCCCAAGAAAAAAGUGACAUUCAGCUCUUCCUCGGUCAUUUUCAUUAUCACCAAUGAUGAAACACAACAAAUAGAUGACAGUUCCAAAGUCACAGGCACAAAAGCAAACAUGAUCCAAGUGAAGUCUUUAUAGCAGAUGGCCCAGAAAUUGUUCUGGUUUAAGUUGGCAUCUGCUAACAAAACUUUGAGGGGCACAAUUUGCAAGACAAUACUAUCUUAUAUGAAAUACUUUUCCUGUGUGCAUUCCUAUAAUUUGCCAAGGAGCCCUACAAACCUCAAUGCAGUAUUAUUUUGCAUAAUUUUACUGAAUUGUACUAUCGGUGACUCAAAGCUCUGUUGUAACUGCCUGAGAUUGUGACAUAUGCCUGAAAGAUGGAUUUUUAAACCUAUUUUUCUUUAUCGUCUCUCAAUUACCUUCAACUCCCUGCAGGAAAUACACCAUUGUGACUUUUGUAGUCUGGUUUAUGACUCAUGUAGAUGCAGAAACAUGCACAAAGUAGAGGAAACCCAAUUGCCAUAGAAAAUUGCCUCAUAGUAGGCAUGCUUUCCACUGUUAAAACUCAUCCCUCAGCAUGAGGUAAGAAAUGUGAAGCACUUGAGAACCAGUAUUAAAUUACAACUGAGCUUGAUAGUGAUGAUGAAUGUUUUCAAACCGUAGCACUGUAUUCUUAAAUAUCCACAGUCACUUGUUACAAAACUAGAUGGUGAUGUGGAUACAGUCAGCCUUCUCCAGCUUGGUAUCUUCCAGACAUGUCAGAUAAUAAUUUUCAGUAAUCCUGACCAGAAAAAAUGAUAUUCUUGCUGUGGUGUGUUGGGCAGCUAUUUAAUUCAAUAAAUCAUUUUGUGAUUUAACCAUGUUUUAACUAAACUUUGGGAGGCUUUUCUAUGUGAGUAGACCCAGAAAAACAGUUAUUUUGUGAGGUUAAGAGCCAAAUGAUACUCAAUGCCCUUACUUUAUUGUUCCUAAUCAGAAGAAUUAAGUAAAGAGUGUCCCUGCAAUUCUAGAAACCAUCAUUCUGAAUCUGCAGAAUCUUAAUCAUGAAGGGAUGUGUUUUUCUGAGAAUGGUAGAAAGUUAAUUCUCCCAUCCAGGACAGGUAAUCCUCAUGUAGCAACCAUUUGCUUACUAUCUGUUUGAAAAUAGUGCUUUAAAAAAUAGACUUGCUGCUGGGUCCUGAAAUUACAGUUGCUAUAAGGCUUCUGGAGUCAUGUAACCAACAUUCAUCUACUUUGGAAGUAGCAGUUAUUUUCAGCCAUCACAAGGCCUCUGGCCACAUGAGCAACAUUUGGUACCCACAAGCAACACCUGCUUAUGACCUUUGCUUUCCUGCAGUCACGUGAGCAAGCAACAUCUGGGGACUAUGCAGUCAGUGUGAGUUGUUAUCUUGUAGUCAUGUAAGCAAGUGACAUCGGAAGACUCUGUAGUCAGCACACAUUUUUGUCCCAUGUUUUUGCUUGGACCAGCAGAGUGAAAUAGCUUGUGUGCAUAAUGCUGUACUACAUUAUCUUCUAUACUUCUAAAUACUGUGCAAAGAGGUGCGAUGGCUCAGUGGCUUAAUGACGCUAGAGAUGAUCUGUACUCCAGUGGUUUGAGUUCCAGCACUCAGACACCCUACAGGGAUCAUCCACGAAACGGAAAUAUUGCUUAUACUUUGGAUUGAUGAUCAAAUACAAAGAGGAAUCCAAUUAGCCUUCUCAUUUAGGCUAAGACACAUAGCAUUUUCACAGUGCUGAAAGAAAGAGCAGGUGAGGAGUGCCCUGAAGCACUCACUUCCAUGGCUGGCUUGUGUGGUUUUGGCAAAGAUUUCGUUACUGUAGCAUACAUUCAUCAGGUGAAACCACAAGCACUGACAAAAGCUGUCCAACUUUUCCUGCGUGAGUUUGUGGAAAUCAUGACAGACAGAGAAUUACUUCCCUAAAUAGAUAUUCAACGUGGACAAAACAGUUAUUGUGGAACAAAAUUCCAGGUAUCUAGGACAACUUGGCGCAGGCAGCUCAUCGCCACCUGCUCACCACUGCCAAAGUCGCCUCUGCCAACUCACUGCCACCAAGUCAUCGCAGGACAACUCAACAUAGCCAAUUCGCCAGGGGAGAGCCAGAGGGAGAGCAGGACAGACAGGUGAAUGGGCAGAGUGCAGAGCAGAAGCUGGGAUUUCUACUGGAGGCAGAGCCAGGCAGGUGAGUGAGUGGGUGGGCAGAGCGCCAAGCAGUGGUGGCAGCCAGAGG